UUAAAAAGCUCGUAGUUGGAUUUCUGCGGGGGCGGGGCGGCCGGAUGCUUAUAGCAUCUCGAGCUAGCACUUCCCCCGCAUCCUGCCGCGAACCGUGCUACCAUUAGUUUGGUGGCGCUGGGGAUCGGCUCGUUUACUUUGAGAAAAAUAGAGUGUUCAAAGCAGGCCACACGCCUUGAAUAAGUUAGCAUGGAAUAAUGAUAAAGGACUUCGGUUCUAUUUUGUUGGUGUUCGGGACUGAAGUAAUGAUUGAUAGGGACAGUUGGGGCGGUCAGUAUUCCAAAGCGAGAGGUGAAAUUCUUAGACCUUCGGAAGACUAACAGCUGCGAAAGCGUUCCGCAAGGAUGUUCCCUUUGAUCAAGAACGAAAGUUGGGGGAUCGAAGACGAUCAGAUACCGUCGUAGUCUCAACUAUAAACUAUACCAGCUAGGGAUCGGCCGACGUUUACUUAUAUCGACUCGGUCGGCACCUUAUGAGAAAUCAAGGCAUCUGGGUUCCGGGGGGA
rnacentral:rRNA from 1 species